UACGAAGGGGGCUAGCGUUGCUCGGAAUCACUGGGCGUAAAGCGCACGUAGGCGGAUUGUUAAGUCAGGGGUGAAAUCCUGGAGCUCAACUCCAGAACUGCCUUUGAUACUGGCGAUCUUGAGUCCGGGAGAGGUGAGUGGAACUGCGAGUGUAGAGGUGAAAUUCGUAGAUAUUCGCAAGAACACCAGUGGCGAAGGCGGCUCACUGGCCCGGUACUGAUGCUGAGGUGCGAAAGCGUGGGGAGCAAACAGG
rnacentral:rRNA from 1 species